rnacentral:lncRNA from 1 species
GUCUUAAGACCCUAAGAUCAAAAUUCGAUCCCAGACGAAACCAGAAAUCCCGCUGUGCUCUACCUGUGUAGCUAAGUUGGCUCAGUCUCAUACUAGGUCGAUUAACCUGGCACUUAGUCGACUCAGUCUGGAACUGAGCCAGCUAACCUGCAUACCAUGCUAAUUUUUUUGAGAGCUUAUUUUCUAUCUCUUUCAGACUUGAUUGAUUCAGUCUGGCACUA